rnacentral:rRNA from 1 species
GUGCCAGCAGGCGCGGUAAUGCGUGAGUGGUCAGCAUUAUCCGGAAUUAUUGGGCGUAAAGCGCGCGUAGCGGUUUUUAAGUCUGAUGUGAAAGCCCACGGCUCAACCGUGGAGGGUCAUUGGAAACUGGAAAACUUGAGUGCAGAAGAGGAAAGUGGAAUUCCAUGUGUAGCGGUGAAAUGCGCAGAGAUAUGGAGGAACACCAGUGGCGAAGGCGACUUUCUGGUCUGUAACUGACGCUGAUGUGCGAAAGCGUGGGGAUCAAACAGGAUUAGAUACCCUGGUAGUCC